rnacentral:rRNA from 1 species
AUCUGGUUGAUCCUGCCAGUAGUCAUACGCUCGUCUCAAAGAUUAAGCCAUGCAUGUGUAAGUAUAAAUAAUUCUACUUUGAAACUGCGAAUGGCUCAUUAUAUCAGUUAUAGUUUAUUAGAAAAAAUGUACUACUUGGAUAACCGUAGUAAUUCUAGGGCUAAUACAUGAGUAAAUCCUCGACUUUGAAGAGGUGUGUUUAUUAGUAUGAAAACCAUAUGCUUCGGCAUGAUAGUGAGUAAUAAUAACCUUUCAUAUCGUAUGUUGAUAUAACGAUAGUUCUUUCAAGUUUCUGCCCUAUCAGCUUUCGAUGGUAGUGCAUUGGACUACCAUGGCAGUAACGGGUAACGAAGAAUUUGGGUUCGAUUUCGGAGAGGGAGCCUGAGAGAUGGCUACCACAUCCAAGGAAGGCAGCAGGCGCGUAAAUUACCCAAUCCUGACAUAGGGAGGUAGUGACAAUAAAUCACAAUGCGGGACUUUUAGUUUUGCAAUUGGAUUGAGAACAAUGUAAAAGAGUUAUCGAUAAACAAUUGGAGGGCAAGUCUGGUGCCAGCAGCCGCGGUAAUUCCAGCUCCAAUAGCGUAUAUUAACGUUGUUGCAGUUAAAAAGCUC